ACUAGCAGUAAGAGUUUGAUCAUGGCUCAGAACGAACGCUGGCGGCAUGCCUAACACAUGCAAGUCGAACGAGACCUUCGGGUCUAGUGGCGCACGGGUGCGUAACGCGUGGGAACCUGCCUUGAGGUUCGGAAUAACUCCCGAAAGGGGUGCUAAUACCGGAUGAUGUCUUCGGACCAAAGAUUUAUCGCCUUUAGAUGGGCCCGCGUUGGAUUAGCUAGUUGGUGGGGUAAAGGCCUACCAAGGCGACGAUCCAUAGCUGGUCUGAGAGGAUGAUCAGCCACACUGGGGCUGAGACACGGCCCAGACUCCUACGGGAGGCAGCAGUGGGGAAUAUUGGACAAUGGGCGAAAGCCUGAUCCAGCAAUGCCGCGUGAGUGAUGAAGGCCUUAGGGUUGUAAAGCUCUUUUACCAGGGAUGAUAAUGACAGUACCUGGAGAAUAAGCUCCGGCUAACUCCGUGCCAGCCGCCGCGGUAAUUC
rnacentral:rRNA from 1 species